CGAUCCCAGCCGCCUGAAGCUUUACCGAGGAGAGAGAGAGAGAGAGAGAGAGAGAGAGGUGCCAAAGGCAAGGUGGUUCCCCCGCACAGCCGGAGAGUCCAAUCCCUUGGACUGUCUGGGCUGAUCCCGGGGCAGAGGCGGCUCUACAGGAUGCAGCCGGCAGACCGCUCUUAAUCCCAGCGAGCGCCCAGAAUAUCUUCCCAAGCAAGAGCAGAGCCUGGAUCAUCCAAAAAGAGCUGGGCAAAAUCAUGUCAGCUGACUUCUUCAAACUCAAACUGACCUCCAGUUGUGUGGGACUACAAUGAUCUCCGCCCCCAGGCUGACAGGAGAGGUGGAAGAACACAGGUUUUCCUUUUUUAGGACCACAAUUGUAACCUGUACUUCAUUGUCAAAUGACACCAUUACUAAGUGAAACUGUGAGUAUGCUUAUGAUUUUACUUUAGCUUUACUGAC
rnacentral:lncRNA from 1 species